rnacentral:lncRNA from 1 species
AAAGUAAUGUUUGGUAGAGAUGAGGUAGAAGUACUAACAUAGAUAUAGAAAUUCAGAAAGUUAACAAAAUAAGAAAAUAAAAAAAGUUAUAUUUAGCUCAAGAAUAGACAACUUAGCUUUUCAAGUAUCGGCUUCUAACUGAUGAUCAGUUUUCAACUUAACAUGUGCCGAGGCAAAUCUUAUGUUCUUCGAGCUCCAAUCUUCAAGCACAUACCAUUUUUAACAAAUUAGAGUUUAAUAAAUUUUAUAUUUCUAAUUAACAAUCAUCAAACUAUAUUUUGUUCACUGUCCCAAUUUCUAUUUCCUAGGUCCGUACCUCUACCUCAACUCUAAAUAAUUUCAUGAUAGGGUUAGUAGCUAAUCUUUAAUUUUAUUAAGUUGCAUGGUGGAGUUACAUCAAAAGUAAUGUUUGGUAGAGAUGAGGUAGAAGUACUAACAUAGAAAUAGAAAUUCAGAAAGUUAACAAAAUAAGAAAAUAAAAAAAGUUAUAUUUAGCUCAAGAAUAGACAACUUAGCUUUUCAAGUAUCGGCUUCUAACUGAUAAUCAGUUCGUCAACUUAACAUGUGCCGAGGCAAAUCUUAUGUUCUUCGAGCUCCAAUCUUCAAGCACAUACCAUUUUUAACAAAUUAGAGUUUAAUAAAUUUUAUAUUUCUAAUUAACAAUCAUCAAACUAUAUUUUGUUCCCUGUCCCAAUUUCUAUUUCCUAGGUCCGUACCUCUACCUCAACUCUAAAUAAUUUCAUGAUAGGGUUAGUAGCUAAUCUUUAAUUUUAUUAAGUUGCAUGGUGGAGUUACUUCAAAAGUAAUGUUUGGUAGAGAUGAGGUAGAAGUACUAACAUAGAAAUAGAAAUUCAGAAAGUUAGCAUUUAGCUCAAGAAUAGACAACUUAGCUUUUCAAGUAUCGGCUUCUAACUGAUGUUCAGUUCGUCAACUUAACAUGUGCCGAGGCAAAUCUUAUGUUCUUCGAGCUCCAAUCUUCAAGCACAUACCAUUUUUAACAAAUUAGAGUUUAAUAAAUUUUAUAUUUCUAAUUAACAAUCAUCAAACUAUAUUUUGUUCACUGUCCCAAUUUCUAUUUCUAGGUCCGUACCUCUACCUCAACUCUAAAUAAUUUCAUGAUAGGGUUAGUAGCUAAUCUUUAAUUUUAUUAAGUUGCAUGGUGGAGUUACUUCAAAAGUAAUGUUUGGUAGAGAUGAGGUAGAAGUACUAACAUAGAAAUAGAAAUUCAGAAAGUUAACAAAAUAAGAAAAUAAAAAAAGUUAUAUUCAGAUCAAGAAUAGACAACUUAGCUUUUCAAGUAUUGGCUUCUAACUGAUGAUCAGUUCGUCAACUUAACAUGUGCCGAGGCAAAUCUUAUGUUCUUCGAGCUCCAAUCUUCAAGCACAUACCAUUUUUAACAAAUUAGAGUUUAAUAAAUUUUAUAUUUCUAAUUAACAAUCAUCGAACUGUAUUUUGUUGGCUGUCUCAAUUUCUAUUUCCUAGGUCCGUACCUCUACCUCAACUCUAAAUAAUUUCAUGACAGGGUUAGUAGCUAAUCUUUAAUUUUAUUAAGUUGCAUGGUGGAGUUACUUCAAAAAUAAUGUUUGGUAGAGAUGAGGUAGGCGUACUGACAUAGAAAUAGAAAUUGAGAUAUUAAACAAAUUAAG